UAUGAGAAUAUGGAGGUUAAAAAACGAGUAGCCUUAUCAAACCCAUAUGGGGAUUGGAUCAAGGAAAAUCUGCGGUCUUUGAAGUCUGGGAAUUUCAUUUCAUCCUCUGUGAUGGAGAAUGAUACAGUAUUAAGAAACCAACAGGCAUUUGGGUAAUCAAGUGAAAAUGUCCAUAUGGUGAUUAAGAGUAUGGCUUCUCAAAAAAAGGAACCUACAUUUUCCAUUGGCAGCGUUAUCUCAGAAACCUCACAUGCUUUUUGAUUACUUUAAGCAGCGGUUUGCGCAGGUUACAAAUCCUGCAAUUGAUCCACUUCGAGAAUGGUUAGUUAUGUCUCUUGAAGUAAAUAUAAGACUAAAAGAAAGAAUUUCGGAUUACCUGUGCGAGGUGAGCUUCAUUCAGACAAUUACCAGGAGCAACAUCAUGUAGCGAACACCACUGUAAACGCUGCAAGUCACACAAGCAUGGCAAUGACAACUCCACUUUCUAACCACAUUAUACCAAUUUCCAUCACAUAACUAACAGGUUGGCAGCGCUCCAGUUAACUUCAACAAACUCGCAACAUAGACUCGAGUCCUAGCCAGCUUCACUCCACGCCCCAACCAACAUUGAUAGAACAUGCCAACAACAAUGCAUUUAAAUGAAUCAUCAACUAACCUGUCACUUGAUCAAAUUCCAACUGCCUUCAGUUCACAAACAGCAACAUGCAUUGCGCAAACAUCUACAACAUGACAACAGACCAACAGUAGCCACGCAUUUCACGACAGAAAUUUAACACCUAACAAGCUCAUUGAUUAAUUAACGGCAAUGUUACACUUCAGUCCAAGCACCUUCGAAAUUAAAUCCAC
rnacentral:lncRNA from 1 species